UGGGGAAUUUUGGACAAUGGGGGAAACCCUGAUCCAGCCAUCCCGCGUGUGCGAUGAAGGCCUUCGGGUUGUAAAGCACUUUUGGCAGGAAAGAAACGUCAUGGGUUAAUACCCCGUGAAACUGACGGUACCUGCAGAAUAAGCACCGGCUAACUACGUGCCAGCAGCCGCGGUAAUACGUAGGGUGCAAGCGUUAAUCGGAAUUACUGGGCGUAAAGCGUGCGCAGGCGGUUCGGAAAGAAAGAUGUGAAAUCCCAGAGCUCAACUUUGGAACUGCAUUUUUAACUACCGGGCUAGAGUGUAUCAGAGGGAGGUGGAAUUCCGCGUGGAGCAGUGAAAUGCGUAGAUAUGCGGAGGAACACCGAUGGCGAAGGCAGCCUCCUGGGAUAACACUGACGCUCAUGCACGAAAGCGUGGGGAGCAAACAGG
rnacentral:rRNA from 1 species